rnacentral:rRNA from 1 species
AUGCCUCCUGCACACAUCGUGGUUUCCACCAAGUCCACCGAAGGCCACCCUACAACAACUACCAAAUACCCCUUCAUUUCGUCUAAGCCUGUCAAGCCCCUCGACAACAAGUGCACGACUAUGCGGAUCGUGCCAAGUAUCACGAUGUCGAGACCCCUCAAGUUCGACUGCAAGAAAACGGCAAGUACCCCUACGCGCGAAGAUGCCAAGCCCGUUUCGGGGUUCACCAAGUACCGCUACUGA